rnacentral:rRNA from 1 species
AGAGAAUAGAUACCCAGGUAGUCCCAGCUGUAAACGAUGCAGACUCGGUGAUGAAAUUGGCUUAUUGCUAAAUUCAGUGCCGCAGGGAAGCCGUUAAGUUUGCCGCCUGGGGAGUACGGUCGCAAGACUGAAACUUAAAGGAAUUGGCGGGGAGGCACCACCAAGGGGUAGGAAAGACCUCGCGGUUCGUAAUUAGGUAGGUCAACGACCGGGAAACGUACUUACCGGGGGUCCGGGACAGCAGAGUGAAGGUACGAAGCCGAACGAACUUUACCUACGACAAGACUGAGAGGAGGUGCAUGGCCGUCGCCAGCUCGUGCCGUCGAGGUGUCCUCGUUAAGUCAGGUAACGAGCGAGAUCCCUGCCUCUAGUUGCUACCACUAUUCUCAGGAGUAGUGGAGCUAAUUAGAGGGACCGCCGUCGCUGAGACGGAGGAAGGU